AUGGAUGCAAGUAGCGGGCGCCCUAUAAGUACGCGCCGGAUGAAUCACAUCCAUCACAGAUUCAAGCGUCUCAAUCAACCUCACCAUCCCAAUUCCCAAGCUUCAUGGAAGAACGACUCACUGCACUUCUGCGGUUGGUCCGGUGUUACUUGCAGCAAGAGACACGCGCCUCGUGUCGUUGCGCUGGACCUCGAGUCGUUUAAUCUCGAUGGCCAAAUACCUGCUUGCAUUGGCAACCUCACUUUCCUCACAAGAAUGCACGUCCCCAACAAUCAACUCGGUGGUCAAAUUCCACCUGAAAUUGGCCAACUAAAUCGGUUGCGGUACCUUAACCUCAGCUCAAACUAUCUUAGUGGAGUGAUCCCAAGCACUCUGUCUUCAUGCUUUCACCUUCAAAUUGUUGAUCUUGGAAGCAACUCCCUUGAUGGAGUGAUCCCCCAAAGCCUGAGCCAAUGUUCAGAUAUGCAGCAGCUCUACUUGGGUCGCAACAAGCUGAGUGGAGGUAUCCCGCAAGGAUUGGGGACGCUCCGCAACCUCUCACUUCUACAUCCUGCUACAAAUAGCGUGACGGGCAACAUCCCGACUGCACUUGGGAGCAGCUCUUCUCUUCGCUCUGUUGUUCUUGUGAACAAUAGCCUCACUGGACAUAUCCCGCCUCUCCUCGCUAAUAGUUCAUCCCUUCAACUUCUGGACUUAACAAACAAUCACAUGACCGGUGAGAUUCCUUCUGCGUUGCUUAACAGCAUGUCGCUUCAAAAAUUAUCACUAGGAUUGAACAACUUUGUCGGGUCCAUACCAGCUUUGUCGAACAUUGGCCCACCCUUGCAAUAUCUUAAAUUGCAAUCAAACAAUCUUUCUGGCACCAUACCUUCUUCUUUAGGGAAUUUUUCUUCGCUUCGCUACCUCUUGCUUGGAGAUAAUAAUUUCCAAGGUAGAAUCCCAAUGAGUAUAGGCAAUAUUCUGUACCUGAGUACUAGAUCUCACUUAUAA
rnacentral:rRNA from 1 species